rnacentral:lncRNA from 1 species
GGACAGUCUGGAGAAAGUUCAGGCUUCAAUAUCCCACCCACAUCAGGAUAUCCCACUCAGCCUGGAAUGACAUAUCCAUCUCAGCAAUUAGGGCAUUCAUCAGCAUAUCCAGUGCAGUCUUCAGGAGGCUACCACAAAGGGAGUCCUGCUAUCCCUAUAGGUGUAGGUGUGGCAGCUGGUGCUGCUUUACUUGGAGGAGCAGCAUUAAUGAGCAAAGGAGGCAAAGUAAGUUACUCAUAGUUACCUUGGUUCCAUUCUACAAUGUCAGUGUGGCUGUUAUUUAUCAGGUUCAUUGUGCAUUGUCCUUAAUAGCUAGUAAGUAUGAUUUUGCAUUUUUAAUUUCACACACUGGAAUGUAAGGAAAUUAUGAUGAAUUGAAUUUUACUAUUUAUUUACUAUCAUUUCACAUGAUGAAUUUGAUUGUUUUGAGUUUGGAUGAUAAUAUCAAAACAGUACAACAUUGUUAGUGAAAUGGUUUUUCUAUGAAAUUGAGUUUCAGUUUAAUUUCACUGUUGCAUACAAAUAUAUCUUCACUUGCUAAGGCUUUGUGAAGAUGUUUAUUACAUAGUAAUGUAUGUCUUAAGUGCUAUCAUUUUGUAAUAUUAUUCUCUUAUUCUCCUUCACCAUUUUACAACUGUUUGCAACAACUACGUGCAGCUUGUGUGGUAUAUAAGAAUACCAAGUGUUUUCUACCUCCUUGAAUUGAUAUAGAAAAUUUUCAAAAUUUAUCAUUUGUGCAGAUAUAUGUAGUUUCCAUAGAACAUGUUGGUCAAGAAGAUCAUUAGGCUACUGUUGCUCUUGUUACAUAUUGUUCUGUGUCAGUUGCCUAAAGUAACACCUUUUCUUUUCCUAUGGUAAAGGUAGCUGCAUGGUUGGUCACGGUAGUAUGUGAAUUUAGUUACCUUUCUCACUGGCAGUCAGGUGGUCUGUUGAAGUUACGACCUCCCUUAUGUUUCACUUGCAAUGACCAGUGACAUGGGUAUCCUAGUCACUCUAGGAAUGUUUGAUGUUAAUGAGAUGAGUAAGUAACAUUUUUUUUUUAAUCUGGAGCAAGAUCUCGAUAGAGUUAGUCUGGAACAAGACCACAACAGGGUCAGUCUGAUAAAAUAUGCUGACCGAGUAAGAUAAGAAACAACUUCAGAAUUAAUUCUUCAAUAAAGGCGAUUGUUCGUUGAGGCAAGUAACUUAUAAAUUUUUGCUGUGUUUGCUUCAAUAGAGAUUGAUUUUACAUUUGUAUUCAAUCUCUGGUUCUCAUGGUUUAGAAGCAUAUAAAAAAAAGACACACUUUAGGAUACAUAAACUCUAGAAUCUUCCUUAGUUUUCUCUUAGAUUAAAAAUUUUACCCUAUAUAUGGUAUUUUUGGAGGUGGGGGUAGAUUUUCAUGAGGCAAGUUUUAUUUAGUGAAGAAAGUGGAAACCAUUUUCUAUAGAAAACUCUUAAUAAGUAUGGUCGCUGAGUGGGAAAAAACUAAAAUAUGGAGUUGGUUCUCAUUCACCAGCUGAAACCUGAAUUGAACUUAGCAUAUACAUUACUACUAAAAUGUAAGUUGAACUCACUCAAUCAGCAUAUACAUUACUACUAAAAAUGUAAGUUGAACUCACUUAGUCAGCAUAUACAUUACUACUAAAAAUGUAAGUUGAACUCAC